rnacentral:rRNA from 1 species
UUAUUUGAGAGUUUGAUCCUGGCUCAGGUUGAACGCUGGCGGCGUGGAUAAGGCAUGCAAGUCGAGCGGGCGCUCUUUGCGAUUACAUCAAGAGGAGCGCGAGCGGCAAACGAGUUAGUAACGCGUAGGAACGUACCCCUUACACAGGAAUAACUUGCCGAAAGGUAAGCUAAUGCCUGAUGGUCUGGCGAGCAAUCGCCAGUAAAGGCGUGGAGCAAUCCAUGCCGGUAGGGGAGCGGCCUGCGUCCUAUCAGCUUGUUGGCGGGGUAACGGCCCACCAAGGCGAUGACGGGUAGGGGGUGUGAGAGCAUGUCCCCCAACGCUGGGACUGUGACACGGCCCAGACACCU